GACGAACGCUGGCGGCGUGCCUAAUACAUGCAAGUCGAACGCUUCUUUCCUCCCGAGUGCUUGCACUCAAUUGGAAAGAGGAGUAGCGGACGGGUGAGUAACACGUGGGUAACCUACCCAUCAGAGGGGGAUAACACUUGGAAACAGGUGCUAAUACCGCAUAACAGUUUAUGCCGCAUGGCAUAAGAGUGAAAGGCGCUUUCGGGUGUCGCUGAUGGAUGGACCCGCGGUGCAUUAGCUAGUUGGUGAGGUAACGGCUCACCAAGGCCACGAUGCAUAGCCGACCUGAGAGGGUGAUCGGCCACACUGGGACUGAGACACGGCCCAGACUCCUACGGGAGGCAGCAGUAGGGAAUCUUCGGCAAUGGACGAAAGUCUGACCGAGCAACGCCGCGUGAGUGAAGAAGGUUUUCGGAUCGUAAAACUCUGUUGUUAGAGAAGAACAAGGACGUUAGUAACUGAACGUCCCCUGACGGUAUCUAACCAGAAAGCCACGGCUAACUACGU
rnacentral:rRNA from 1 species